rnacentral:misc_RNA from 1 species
ACCGUCAAUUCAUUUAAGUUUCACCCUUGCGGGCGUACUCCCCAGGUGGAUAACUUAACGCUUUCGCUGGGACGCUGGCUGUCUAUCGCCAACAUCGAGUUAUCAUCGUUUAGGGCGUGGACUACCAGGGUAUCUAAUCCUGUUCGAUCCCCACGCUUUCGUGCAUCAGCGUCAAUACCAGCUUAGUGAGCUGCCUUCGCAAUCGGAGUUCUAAGACAUAUCUAUGCAUUUCACCGCUACUUGUCUUAUUCCGCCCACUUCAAAUGGAUUCAAGCCCAUCAGUAUCAAAGGCACUGCGAUGGUUGAGCCACCGUAUUUCACCCCUGACUUAAUAGGCCGCCUACGCACCCUUUAAACCCAAUAAAUCCGGAUAACGCUCGGAUCCUCCGUAUUACCGCGG